AUGGGUCGAUGUUCCACAGCCAGAAGGGGAAGAAGGUGAUGUAGAAGAGCUCGUUGCCCAGCUCCGUGCCGAAGCUGAACAGUAAACCAUUGGAUUUGAUUACCAUGGAUGAUGAGAACAAAGUUUCCAUUGGCAUCUCUGAACAUGGAAAGAGAAGAAACAACAAAAUGGAAUAUUGUAAACAUUAAGCCUCACAGAGACAAAACCUUCAGUGUUUUCUACAAUUGCAAAACCAUAAUCACAAGCAGAUGUCAAUUACAACUAAGUGUUAAGUUACUGAACUCAUAAACUGUAUUUGUGUUAAAUAAUAUAUUAGCUAUCUAAAUUAAACAUUAUACAAAGAUUUAGGAUAAGUAAAAUAUUGGAAUUUACUAAGAUAUCACAAAUCUUAUUUUAAAAGAUGAUGUUGAUGUGAUGAAUUGUUUCCAAACACUCCCACCUUUACUCAAUAUUUCUUUGGCCAGAUGACUGCUUGAAAUAAAUGGUUGACCUGA